rnacentral:rRNA from 1 species
AUUGAACGCUGGCGGCAGGCCUAACACAUGCAAGUCGAACGGAGCGGCGAACGGGGGAUUAAUACCUAGGAAUCUGCCUGGGAGUAAGGGAUAACGCUCGGGAACGGACGAUAUUACCGCAUACUAGCAGAGGAGCCUCGGUCGGAUUAGCUAGUUGGUGAGGUAAUGGCUCACCAAGGCUACGAUCCGUAACUGGUCUGAGAGGAUGAUCAGUCACACUGGAACUGAGACACGGUCCAGACUCCUACGGGAGGCAGCAGUGGGGAAUAUUGGACAAUGGGCGAAAGCCUGACCCAGCCAUGCCGCGUGUGUGAAGAAGGUUUUCGGAUUGUAAAGCACUUUAAGUUGAGAGGCGUUACCGAAAGAGUAAGCACCGGCUAACUACGUGCCAGCAGCCGCGGUAAUUC